rnacentral:rRNA from 1 species
AUACAGAGGGUGCAAGCGUUAUUCGGAAUUACUGGGCGUAAAGCGCGCGUAGGCGGAUGAUUAAGUCAGUUGUGAAAGCCCUGGGCUCAACCUAGGAACUGCAUCUGGUACUGGUCGUCUAGAGUUUAAGAGAGGGAAGUGGAAUUCCAGGUGUAGCAGUGAAAUGCGUAGAUAUCUGGAGGAACAUCAGUGGCGAAGGCGACUUCCUGGCUUAAAACUGACGCUGAGGUGCGAAAGCGUGGGUAGCGAACGGGAUUAGAAACCCUAGUAGUCC